ACCGACACAGGUGGGUGAGGAGAGUAUCCUAAGGCCAGCGAGAGAACUGUUGUUAAGGAACUCGGCAAAAUGACCCCGUAACGUAGGGAUAAGGGGUGCCACCAUCAGGUGGCCGCAGAGAAUAGGCUCAAGCGACUGUUUACCAAAAACAUAGGUUUCUGCUAAGUCGCAAGACGAUGUAUAGGAGCUGACGCCUGCCCGG
rnacentral:rRNA from 1 species